GACGUAGGAGGCGAGCGUUGUCCGGAUUCAUUGGGCGUAAAGAGCACGCAGGCGGUUUGGCAAGUCGGAUGUGAAAACCCGAAGCUCAACUUCGGGCCUGCAUCCGAAACUGCCCGACUAGAGGUAGGUAGGGGAGAUCGGAAUUCCUGGUGUAGCGGUGAAAUGCGCAGAUAUCAGGAAGAACACCAAUGGCGAAGGCAGUUCUCUGGGACGGUACUGACGCUGAGACGCGAAAGCGUGGGGAGCGAACAGG
rnacentral:rRNA from 1 species